rnacentral:lncRNA from 1 species
UUUAUCAUAUUAGAGGGCUAUGAUAUUCGAUAAAAUAGUAAGAGUAAUAAUUAAAUAAAAGACUUAGUCCAAUUAUUUAUGUCAUCAUGAGUUAUUCAUUUAUAUAGUGUUCUUAUUAUUAUAGAUUAACUGCAUAAUGGCAUCCUCACUAUUAUUACGUGGCAUAUUAGAUGCAAAUAAAUUGAUCAGACUAAAUUAUGUGGACUGAUUGAGAAACUUAAAAAUAUUUGUUAUACAAAAGAAAGUCUCCAAUAUAUAGAAUAUCCCUGCACCUGAUA